rnacentral:siRNA from 1 species
AUAUACUAGAUAAGGCCCGCCUA